rnacentral:rRNA from 1 species
UACGAAGGUGGCAAGCGUUGUUCGGAUUUACUGGGCGUAAAGGGAGCGUAGGUGGUCGGGUAAGCCCCGCGGGAAAGCUCCAGGCUUAACCUGGAAAGGUCGCGGGGGACUGCGCGGCUAGAGGACGGGAGAGGAGCGCGGAAUUCCCGGGUGUAGCGGUGAAAUGCGUAGAGAUCGGGAGGAAGGCCGGUGGCGAAGGCGGCGCUCUGGAACGGCCCGUACACUGAGGCUC